AGCCCUGCAGUGAUUUCACGUCAAAGUGCAAAUUUGAAGAAGAGCCCUAAGAGGCCCCGGGGCUU
rnacentral:tRNA from 1 species